UACGUAGGUGACAAGCGUUGUCCGGAUUUACUGGGCGUAAAGGGCGCGUAGGCGGCCGACCAAGUCGGAGGUGAAAUCCCUCGGCUCAACCGCGGGCCUGCAGCCGAUACGGGCAGGCUAGAGUUCGGUAGGGGAGACUGGAAUUCCUGGUGUAGCGGUGAAAUGCGCAGAUAUCAGGAGGAACACCGAUGGCGAAGGCAGGUCUCUGGGCCGAUACUGACGCUGAGGAGCGAAAGCGUGGGGAGCGAACAGG
rnacentral:rRNA from 1 species